CCUACGAGAGGCAGCAGUGAGGAAUAUUGGUCAAUGGACGGAAGUCUGAACCAGCCAUGCCGCGUGCAGGAAGACGGCUCUAUGAGUUGUCAACUGCUUUUGUACAAAGGUAAACCUGAAUACGUGUAUUCAGCUGAACGUACUGUACGAAUCAGGAUCGGCUAACUCCGUGCCCGCAGCCGCGGUAAUCCGGAGGAUCCAUGCGUUAUCCGGAUUUAUUGGGUUUAAAGGGUGCGUAGGCGGAUUGAUAAGUUAGAGGUGAAAUGUCCGAGCUUAACUCGGGAACUGCCUCUAAUACUGUUGAUCGAGAGAGUAGAUGCGGUAGGCGGAAUGUAUGGUGUAGCGGUGAAAUGCGUAGAGAUCAGACAGAACACCGAUUGCGAAGGCAGCUUACCAAUCUAUAUCUGACGUUGAGGCACGAAAGCGUGGGGAGCAAACAGGAUUAGAUACCCCAGUAGUC
rnacentral:rRNA from 1 species